UCGAGGGAACACACCAGGAGCUUGCUCCUUUGACGUUAGCGGCGGACGGGUGAGUAACACGUGGGUAACCUACCUAUAAGACUGGGAUAACUUCGGGAAACCGGAGCUAAUACCGGAUAAUAUUUCGAACCGCAUGGUUCGAUAGUGAAAGAUGGUUUUGCUAUCACUUAUAGAUGGACCCGCGCCGUAUUAGCUAGUUGGUAAGGUAACGGCUUACCAAGGCGACGAUACGUAGCCGACCUGAGAGGGUGAUCGGCCACACUGGAACUGAGACACGGUCCAGACUCCUACGGGAGGCAGCAGUAGGGAAUCUUCCGCAAUGGGCGAAAGCCUGACGGAGCAACGCCGCGUGAGUGAUGAAGGUCUUCGGAUCGUAAAACUCUGUUAUUAGGGAAGAACAUACGUGUAAGUAACUGGUAACUCGUCUUGACGGUACCUAAUCAGAAAGCCACGGCUAACUACGUGCCAGCAGCCGCGGUAAUACGUAGGUGGCAAGCGUUAUCCGGAAUUAUUGGGCGUAAAGCGCGCGUAGGCGGUUUUUUAAGUCUGAUGUGAAAGCCCCACGGCUCAACCGUGGAGGGUCAUUGGAAACUGGAAAACUUGAGUGCAGAAGAGGAAAGUGGAAUUCCAUGUGUAGCGGUGAAAUGCGCAGAGAUAUGGAGGAACACCAGUGGCGAAGGCGACUUUCUGGUCUGUAACUGACGCUGAUGUGCGAAAGCGUGGGGAUCAAACAGGAUUAGAUACCCUGGUAGUCCACGCCGUAAACGAUGAGUGCUAAGUGUUAGGGGGUUUCCGCCCCUUAGUGCUGCAGCUAACGCAUUAAGCACUCCGCCUGGGGAGUACGACCGCAAGGUUGAAACUCAAAGGAAUUGACGGGGACCCGCACAAGCGGUGGAGCAUGUGGUUUAAUUCGAAGCAACGCGAAGAACCUUACCAAAUCUUGACAUCCUUUGACAACUCUAGAGAUAGAGCCUUCCCCUUCGGGGGACAAAGUGACAGGUGGUGCAUGGUUGUCGUCAGCUCGUGUCGUGAGAUGUUGGGUUAAGUCCCGCAACGAGCGCAACCCUUAAGCUUAGUUGCCAUCAUUAAGUUGGGCACUCUAAGUUGACUGCCGGUGACAAACCGGAGGAAGGUGGGGAUGACGUCAAAUCAUCAUGCCCCUUAUGAUUUGGGCUACACACGUGCUACAAUGGACAAUACAAAGGGCAGCGAAACCGCGAGGUCAAGCAAAUCCCAUAAAGUUGUUCUCAGUUCGGAUUGUAGUCUGCAACUCGACUACAUGAAGCUGGAAUCGCUAGUAAUCGUAGAUCAGCAUGCUACGGUGAAUACGUUCCCGGGUCUUGUACACACCGCCCGUCACACCACGAGAGUUUGUAACACCCGAAGCCGGUGGAGUAACCAUUGGAGCUA
rnacentral:rRNA from 1 species